rnacentral:lncRNA from 1 species
AUCAUAUAUGCCUAUUCAUACAUAAGCAUCUAGCAUUUAUGUCAUAUAUCGACAAUCAUAUUCAUAUAUGCAUCAAUGAAACCAUACUUUACUUUGACAUGGAAGUGACCUAAUCACUUCGGUAAAGCACAACCCAUCUUUACUUGGUACUAGAAUGAGAGAAAUCCACUUCUCGCACUUUUCCACGAAUCGCGACCCGCGUUCCCGACACUUGUCGCCGAAAAUGUUCUUUUGGCGAUAUCUUCGCGUAGGCUCGACGGAUUGCCGAACCGACUUCGCAAACGUGUU